CAGUCGCCGCGGUAAUACGUAGGUCCCGAGCGUUGUCCGGAUUUAUUGGGCGUAAAGCGAGCGCAGGCGGUUAGAUAAGUCUGAAGUUAAAGGCUGUGGCUUAACCAUAGUACGCUUUGGAAACCGUUUAACUUGAGUGCAAGAGGGGAGAGUGGAAUUCCAUGUGUAGCGGUGAAAUGCGUAGAUAUAUGGAGGGACACCGGUGGCGAGAGCGGCUCUCUGGCUUGUAACUGACGCUGAGGCUCGAAAGCGUGGGGAGCAAACAGGAUUAGAGACCCCCGUAGUCCCUGUCUCUUAUACA
rnacentral:rRNA from 1 species